UUACGAUCAUAUCACGUUGAGACUCCGGUUCUCGCCCCAUCACCGAAAUUAAGCAAUGUCGAGCCUAGACAGUACCUAGAUGGGUGACCGCUUGGAUGUGCUGGUAGUGUA